CUGCGAGUUCGCGGGAGAGUAAGUUGUUGCCAGGGUUUUUAUUUUAUACUUUAAACAUUGAUUUUAUUUUUUAUGUUUUUAGAUGUUUAUGUUUUUGAAUGUUUUAUUCAAAUAAUAUAAAAAAUAAAAUAUAUAUUGACAUGGAUUAAACAAAGAUAUAUAUUAUUCUAUGUUGUAUAAACAAAUUGGCAAAAUAGAGAUGGAAGAUAAAAAUAUGGUCAAAGUAAUAAGAGUCUAUGGUGAAUGCCUAGGA
rnacentral:misc_RNA from 1 species